rnacentral:tRNA from 1 species
GAGGGUGUAGCUCAGUGGUAGCGCAUAGGCUUAGCGUGCAUGAGGUCCUGGGUUCAAUCCCCAGUACCUCCA